GUUUCUGUAGCGUAGUGGUUAUCACGUUUGCCUAACAUGCAAAAGGUCCCUGGUUCGAAACCAGGCAAAAACA
rnacentral:tRNA from 1 species